GCGCAUGCGUCCUUCUCUGCUCGCUGUAUGAUGGGAGAUUACACGUCACCAUUACCUCACACGUCAGGCGAUGCGGGUUAUCCCAACAAAUCGUGGCUCUUGACCCCAUUGUCUAAUCCUGUUGGUAGAGCAGAAAAACGUUACCAAGAGACACACAAAGCAUCGAGGCAAAUAAUUGAGCGUGCCUUCGGUGUACUUAAAAGCCGGUUUAGAUGUUUAGACACUUCCGGUGGUGCUCUUUUGUACUCACCGGCGAAGGUUUGCGGCAUGGUAAAUGCAUGUUGUAUUUUACACAACUUAUGUGUCGCAAACCGUUUGCCGUGACUCUUCGUCGCAGUACUUUCCGACGCGGGAACCGUUCUUCUGCUCUACCGGUGGGUAUGGACGAAGGAGAUGAUUCCCGACGGACAUUGAUCCAAAGCUUUUUUUCCACUGCCUAGUUUUACGUCCUGUUGACGCACCUUCCCAGGCCUGUUUUCAAAGUUUCGUCCUGUUGACAACCUGUUACCCCCUGUUUUUUCCUGUUGUUGGGUUGCCGCAAAUAUUGGACCCAUUUAUUCAACUCUACCAUGGGCAACCUACUUGUGAUGUGGACCGGAACCUCCGCCAUGUAGCAGACAACCCCCCUCAGGUCUUGCGGAGUAUCCUUCCCAAGUGGCUUGAAUCAUCAUGGUUGAAAAGGGACACGACAGUUCCCCUGCUGUACCAUGGGCGACCUAAUACCACUGCAUCUCAUAUAUUACAUUUUAUUUACUAAUAAUUUAAAGAAAAAACACACAAAACUUCUUAUUUUAAAAAUUUAU